rnacentral:rRNA from 1 species
GACGAACCGUGCGAACGUUGUUCGGAUUCACUGGGCUUAAAGGGCGCGUAGGCGGGUCAGCAAGUCCGGGGUGAAAGCUUUCGGCUCAACCGGAAAAGGGCCUUGGAUACUGCUGGUCUGGAGGAAGGUAGGGGCGUGUGGAACUUCCGGUGGAGCGGUGAAAUGCGUAGAUAUCGGAAGGAAGACCAGUGGCGAAGGCGGGUCUCUGGACAGUUCCUGACGCUGAGGCACGAAGGCCAGGGGAGCAAACGGG